rnacentral:rRNA from 1 species
GUCGGGAAUAUUGCGCAAUGGAGGAAACUCUGACGCAGUGACGCCGCGUGCAGGAAGAAGGUUUUCGGAUUGUAAACUGCUUUAGACAGGGAAGAAAAAAGACAGUACCUGUAGAAUAAGCUCCGGCUAACUACGUGCCAGCAGCCGCGGUAAUACGUAGGGAGCAAGCGUUAUCCGGAUUUAUUGGGUGUAAAGGGUGCGUAGACGGAGAAGCAAGUUAGUUGUGAAAUCCCUCGGCUUAACCGAGGAACUGCAACUAAAACUACUUCCCUUGAGUGCUGGAGAGGAAAGUGGAAUUCCAAGUGUAGCGGUGAAAUGCGUAGAUAUUAGGAGGAACACCAGUGGCGAAGGCGACUUUCUGGACAGUAACUGACGUUGAGGCACGAAAGUGUGGGGAGCAAACAGG